GCAAAAUGAUUCACACUGAUGGAGGACAGCCGAAAAGUUUGCAGUAGGCUACUCAGUGGAUGAUGUAGGAAAUGCUUUUUCACACAACUUGUGUGGCAACCUAAACUUGCAUCCUAAAAGAAUCAACAGCAUGCCAAUGGAAAAUUUAAAAAUUGAGGCUUCGCUUUUGUUUAAGAGAUAAUAAGACAAUAGGGGUGGGCAGGUGGAUUUAAGGGCUGUAAUGCAGGAUCAGAUCAGCUGCUCCUCCAGUGUUUGAUCAUGGUACCCACUCAACAUCUAUAAGGGCUGGCAGGCUGCUCAAUCAUGAGGCAUGACAGUCAAUUCCAAUCCCUUCCUCUUCUAGGAGUCAUAAGCUUUACAUUUCAGCAAGGAUUCAUCAGCUACCAUUCCUGGGACUUGCCAAUGUUCAAAUCUAUUGGUAAUUAAUACAAGAGAUUGGUAUCCAGAUUUGGUGAUAUCAAGCCUGAAGAGUUAUUGGCAACCAUAGACUUGUGUUGGAUUGCUCCAUGAUUAAUAUUGGAAGUGCCAGACCAGAGAUCUCCUUUAUUCUUACACCUACCGUCAGAUGUACUGAAAGGAUUCACUGACCAUCAUUCAGCCUCUUUGAUUGCAUUGUGAAAGCCUAUCUCAAAAGACCAUAAGACAUAGGAGCAGAAAUUAGGCUAUUUGGCCCAUCGAGUCUGCUCUGCCAUUC